UUUGAACGACGAAUCUCAUCAGCUCUCGGUUGGAGGGAGAUUCAAGCUUACAGACGGAGCCUGAUUUUGUGUUGGUGCAACCCUGGCCACUUGGUUCUGUGAGCCCGUGUGUGUGAUGCAUGUGGGCAGAGCAACCCGACUGUCUGCAACUGCCUUCAUCUUCUUCAUCCCCUGUUUGCUGCUCUUAUGGAGAUAAAUCACAAGUCCAAAACAAACUGAGUGGUGCGGUCACUUUCAGAAGACUCAAUCGUCGCUGCGUAAGCAAGAAAACUUCGCCGCUAACACCGAGGACUUCUUUCUUCCAGUUUAAAUGACUCUUUAUUGAUAUACAGCCCUGUUCAUCAGGAUGGCACUUGUCCUUUUCACUAUUCUGCUGACUCUUCCGUCCUGCUGACCUGUCGUAUUUAUUUGUCUUUUCCUUUUUGUAUCCCCGUCUUGACUGUACCGCACUUGACAGGUUUGAGCUUUGCUGUCCAAUAUUUUGUUCUUUCAUAGCCAUCCCCCUUUUAUUCUUUUCAGUCUGUUGCCUUUGGUUACCUUCCCAGUCUAGAACCAAUCCUCAUAACUUUCAAAUUGAUAUUAACACUGCUGAGAUGACAUACACAAUAUCCUUUAAGAGGCAAUUUGUGACAUUUUUUUUGUGAUUGUGAUCCUCUUACUGACUCCUUUUACAUAAGAUGACUCCCAGUUUUGAAGUACCUCCUCCAGUUGCCUCUGGGUAAGCAUUCUUCUGUUUGUCGCUGGGUUGAUAUCCCUUGAGAGAGUAGAAAAAAAAAAUCCUUGCCCUUGUGAUGACUGGACUUGUAAAGCUUAGUACGCACUUCAUGUCGCAGUGGUGCAGCUCAAUAAGAGUAAGACCACCACAGAUACCCCUUUCACUGCUACCAUUUUAUGUUAUUCAUGUGUGUUUUUUUUUCCCCCUCCCCAGCGUCUUGUCUAACAACAGCAUGGCCGACAUCAGUUUUUUCUGCCUCUUUUAUAUGUAUGAUUGCCGUUUGAUUUGAAUGUCAAAAGAAAAAGAGCCACUGUGGCGUCCACCCCUUGCUGUUCUAUAAUUACAGGAUCUCUCCACAGUCGUGGCAUAACCUGUUGUAUGGAUGUUUUUUUUU